rnacentral:tRNA from 1 species
GCCCAAGUGGCGGAACGGCACGCGCGACGGACUCAAGAUCUGUUGGCUGAUAGGCCAUGAGGGUUCGACUCCCGCUCCGGGCA